rnacentral:rRNA from 1 species
AUUGAACGCUGGCGGCAGGCCUAACACAUGCAAGUCGAGCGAGUGGCGGACGGGUGAGUAAUGUAUGGGGAUCUGCCCGAUAGAGGGGGAUAACUACUGGAAACGGUGGCUAAUACCGCAUACCAUCGGAUGUACCCAUAUGGGAUUAGCUUGUAGGUGGGGUAACGGCUCACCUAGGCGACGAGCACUAGCUGGUCUGAGAGGAUGACCAGCCACACUGGAACUGAGACACGGCCCAGACUCCUACGGGAGGCAGCAGUGGGGAAUAUUGCACAAGGGGCGCAAGCCUGAUGCAGCCAUGCCGCGUGUAUGAAGAAGGCCUUAGGGUUGUAAAGUACUGUCAGCGGGGAGGCGUUACCCGAAGAAGAAGCACCGGCUAACUCCGUGCCAGCAGCCGCGGUAAUAC